GUAGGUGGCAAGCGUUGUCCGGAAUUAUUGGGCGUAAAGCGCGCGCAGGCGGGGUCCUUUAAGGUCUGAUGUGAAAGCCCACGGGCUCAACCGUGGAGGGUCAUUGGAAACUGGGGGACUUGAGUACAGAAGAGGAAAGCGGAAUUCCAAGUGUAGCGGUGAAAUGCGUAGAGAUUUGGAGGAACACCAGUGGCGAAGGCGGCUUUCUGGUCUGUAACUGACGCUGAGGCGCGAAAGCGUGGGGAGCAAACAGGAUUAGAUACCCUGGUAGUCCACGCCGUAAACGAUGAGUGCUAAGUGGUUAGGGGGUUUCCGCCCCUUAGUGCUGCAGCUAACGCAUUAAGCACUCCGCCUGGGGAGUACGGCCGCAAAGGCUG
rnacentral:rRNA from 1 species